UUAGUCUGCAUAUGUGUAAGAUCUACAUGCGUAAGUGAAGGAACCUCUUGUCUAUGUUUGGGUGAGCUCAGUGGUGAUAGGGAGGGUCUAACUGUGCCUUUUUCGACCUUGUGUAGAACUGACAUCCUUUGGCAGACAGGAAGCUCAGUUAGAGAUCUUAAUCAAGAGUGGCUAUUAUGACUGAGAUGUUAAACAUGUAUGGCGUCAGGAGUAGAUCAAUCUUAAGUAUAUAAACCCUGUGCAAUGUAAGUAAAAUUCCUUCACUUUCAUCCUUGUGCUGUCAGUGAGCUCGAUUGCAAUUGUUAUGGAAUUAAUAUACUGAUCUACAACUCCGAGUCCUGAGAUAACUUGAGAGUGAAUUUUUGUAGAUCUUACACAUAUGCAGCUGCACCUGAACUGGUAAGUGUUUGGCAACAUUGCGCAAUAGUGAAUUUCAGACACUGAAGGCCUGUUAGAACUUGAGCUCACUUCCCAUGCCAGUUUACUGAAAUGCACCACCCCUUCUACGCACCCUUUUAAGAACUAUUUAUAUAGCACCUGUCUUCUAGAUUCACAUUUAUACCAAAGAGCAUAUUGAGCAAAGACGCCAUGUCGAAGGGCAAAGCUGUACCCUACUGGAACCUGUCGGUUACUGUCCUGCAUGCAAAACUGAAAUGGUCACAUGACUACUUUUCGGAGUCGGACUGCUACGUGAUUCUGAGGCUCCCCACGUC
ensembl:lncRNA